GACGAACGCUGGCGGCGUGCCUAAUACAUGCAAGUCGAACGAACUCUGGUAUUGAUUGGUGCUUGCAUCAUGUUUUACAUUUGAGUGAGUGGCGAACUGGUGAGUAACACGUGGGAAACCUGCCCAGAAGAGGGGGAUAACACCUGGAAACAGAUGCUAAUACCGCAUAACAACUUGGACCGCAUGGUCCGAGUUUGAAAGAUGGCUUCGGCUAUCACUUUUGGAUGGUCCCGCGGCGUAUUAGCUAGAUGGUGAGGUAACGGCUCACCAUGGCAAUGAUACGUAGCCGACCUGAGAGGGUAAUCGGCCACAUUGGGACUGAGACACGGCCCAAACUCCUACGGGAGGCAGCAGUAGGGAAUCUUCCACAAUGGACGAAAGUCUGAUGGAGCAACGCCGCGUGAGUGAAGAAGGGUUUCGGCUCGUAAAACUCUGUUGUUAAAGAAGAACAUAUCUGAGAGUAACUGUUCAGGUAUUGACGGUAUUUAACCAGAAAGCCACGGCUAACUACGUGCCAGCAGCCGCGGUAAUACGUAGGUGGCAAGCGUUGUCCGGAUUUAUUGGGCGUAAAGCGAGCGCAGGCGGUUUUUUAAGUCUGAUGUGAAAGCCUUCGGCUCAACCGAAGAAGUGCAUCGGAAACUGGGAAACUUGAGUGCAGAAGAGGACAGUGGAACUCCAUGUGUAGCGGUGAAAUGCGUAGAUAUAUGGAAGAACACCAGUGGCGAAGGCGGCUGUCUGGUCUGUAACUGACGCUGAGGCUCGAAAGUAUGGGUAGCAAACAGGAUUAGAUACCCUGGUAGUCCAUACCGUAAACGAUGAAUGCUAAGUGUUGGAGGGUUUCCGCCCUUCAGUGCUGCAGCUAACGCAUUAAGCAUUCCGCCUGGGGAGUACGGCCGCAAGGCUGAAACUCAAAGGAAUUGACGGGGGCCCGCACAAGCGGUGGAGCAUGUGGUUUAAUUCGAAGCUACGCGAAGAACCUUACCAGGUCUUGACAUACUAUGCAAAUCUAAGAGAUUAGACGUUCCCUUCGGGGACAUGGAUACAGGUGGUGCAUGGUUGUCGUCAGCUCGUGUCGUGAGAUGUUGGGUUAAGUCCCGCAACGAGCGCAACCCUUAUUAUCAGUUGCCAGCAUUAAGUUGGGCACUCUGGUGAGACUGCCGGUGACAAACCGGAGGAAGGUGGGGAUGACGUCAAAUCAUCAUGCCCCUUAUGACCUGGGCUACACACGUGCUACAAUGGAUGGUACAACGAGUUGCGAACUCGCGAGAGUAAGCUAAUCUCUUAAAGCCAUUCUCAGUUCGGAUUGUAGGCUGCAACUCGCCUACAUGAAGUCGGAAUCGCUAGUAAUCGCGGAUCAGCAUGCCGUGGUGAAUACGUUCCCGGGCCUUGUACACACCGCCCGUCACACCAUGAGAGUUUGUAACACCCAAAGUCGGUGGGGUAACCUUUUAGGAACCAGCCGCCUAAGGUGGGACAGAUGAUUAGGGUG
rnacentral:rRNA from 1 species